rnacentral:rRNA from 1 species
UACGUAGGUGGCAAGCGUUGUCCGGAUUUAUUGGGUUUAAAGGGUGCGUAGGUGGCCCUGUAAGUCAGUGGUGAAAUAUCUCAGCUUAACUGAGAGGGUGCCAUUGAUACUGCAGGGCUUGAGUACAGAUGAGGUAGGCGGAAUUGACGGUGUAGCGGUGAAAUGCAUAGAUAUCGUCAAGAACACCGAUAGCGAAGGCGGCUUACCAAGCUGUAACUGACACUGAGGCACGAAAGUGUGGGGAUCAAACAGG